CGGCGGCAGGAGCUGGAGCAGAAAGUGAGGAGCAUCGCGGGCGAGCGCCGCCGCCUCCCAAUCUGCCGAGGGGUUCCCGCCCCCAGGGUAACCAAAGCUCCCUCUUAAAGGCGCCCGCCGCGUUUUAGGACCGGAGCUCUCAUCAACACUUGUGAUCGCUGCUGAGACCACGGCGAGGUGUGUGCAGUGUGGAGAUGCCGCAGAGACACACAGCACCAGCAGCCAUCACACGUUAGAACAGACCAAGGUGAAGGCCUUGAUAGAAAAAAGACUGGCCUCGCUAGUGAAGAGGGAGUUCAGACAGCAGACUGCCUUCAGACUCCAACUGCAUCUCUUCCCUGGGUCUCCAACCUAUUAACCACCCCACAGACAAGCUCUCACCUACCUUGCCCUCCAGCCAUGGUGAACCACUUCCGGAGACCACUUGGAGCACAGCACGCCCACACCUUCUGCACUGGCAAGGUACUUCUAAUAAACCAGCUCUGGCCACACCUUCCUGUAAGUUCCUUCACCACUGAGAGGUUUUCGAAGAGGUCUGAAUCUCAGCCUUGGCAGUGAGACGUUGGAGAACUCAGCACUUCUAGACCUUUUACCUUCAUCUUUCACUUCUCCUCAUAGAUAACUACCUUCUACUAC